ACUGAUCAUUCCACAGUGGUAGCGCAUCAGACUUCUAUCUUGACAUCUGGAGGCUGCGGGUUCGAGCCCCGCCGUGAGUG
rnacentral:tRNA from 1 species